rnacentral:rRNA from 1 species
GUCUUUAUUAUAGCCUACAUAUAUAUUUAUUCUACUCAAUAAUAUAAAACAUUUAUAUAAUGAUAGUAUGGGUGACAAAAACCUUUUUUAGCGCAAUAAAUAAAGUACUGUAAAGGAAAGAUGAAAUAGAAAUGAAAUAANCCAUAAACAUAAAAAAGCAAAGAUUAUUACUUUUACCUUUUGCAUAAUGGUCCAGCCAGUCAUAUUAACAAAAAGAAUUUUAGUUAUAUAUCCCGAAAUUAAGUGAGCUACCCCCAAGCAGCAAUAUGAGCAAACUCUUCUCUGUAGCAAAAGAGUGAGAAGACUUUAUGGUAGAGGUGAAAAACCAAACGAGCUUAAAAAUAGCUGGUUGCUUGAGAAUGAAUUUUAGUUCAAUUAAAAGUACUAUAACAGAAUAAGAAUAAUAAUACUUUUAUUAUAAUUGAUUAGGGUACAGCCUAAUUAAUAAAGGAAACAACCUAAAUACAUGAAUAAAAUAUUAAAGGAAUUUUAUACUGUGGGCCUGAAAGCAGCCACCAUUAAUAGCGUUAAAGCUUAAUUUAUUAAUACUUACUAUUUCAAUAAUUUAUUUUAAUUCACCCUAACUAUCAAGCUAAUCUAUAAAUAGAUGAACUACUGCUAGAAUGAGUAAUAAGGAAUAUAACCUCUAAAAUGUGUGUGUAAAUCAAAACGAAUAUAUCAUUGAUAAUUAACAAAUUUUAUAUAUUACAAGAAUUAAUAAAAUGUUAACCCAACACAGGAACAUUAAAGAAAGACUUAAAGUCUGAAAAGGAACUCGGCAAACCCAAGCUUCGCCUGUUUACCAAAAACAUCGCCUCUUGCCAAACUUAUAUGAGAGGUACUGCCUGCCCAGUGACACCUGUUCAACGGCCGCGGUAUAAUGACCGUGCAAAGGUAGCGUAAUCACUUGUCCCCUAAAUAGCGACCAGUAUGAAUGGCAAAACGAGAGCUUAACUGUCUCCUCUGAUUAGUCAAUGAAAUUGAUCUUUCCGUGCAGAAGCGGGAAUAAGAAUAUAAGACGAGAAGACCCUGUGGAGCUUCAAACUUAAACUAACUAUAUUAAUAAAUAAUUAGCAAACAGCUUUGGGUUGGGGCGACCGCGGGGGAAAACAGAACCCCCGAGAUGAAUUUAAGAAAGACAUUUCAAAACAACAAUAUAAUUGACAUAAUUGACCCAACAAUUGAUCAACGGACUAAGUUACCCCAGGGAUAACAGCGCAAUCCUUUCAUAGAGUCCCUAUCGACGAGCGGGUUUACGACCUCGAUGUUGGAUCAGGAUUCCCCAUGGUGUAAAAGCUAUUCAAGGUUCGUUUGUUCAACGAUUAAAAUCCUACGUGAUCUGAGUUCAGACCGGAGCAAUCCAGGUCAGUUUCUAUCUAUAAAUAAUUUUCCCUAGUACGAAAGGACCGGGAAAACAAGGCCCAUAAAAAUUUUAAGCCUUCUCACAAACUUCUGAAACUAAAUUAAGAAGAUAUAGAGAAAAACUUAAUCUAAAUGAUUU